GCUAGGGUGGCAGAGCUUGGUAAUUGCAAAAGGCCUAAGCCCUUUUAAGCAGAGGUUCAAAUCCUCUCCCUAGCU
rnacentral:tRNA from 1 species